CUCCUUCCCUGCCACACAAUGGUUUCUUCCCAUGGCCCCAGCCCAAAGCAAUGACUCAGGACAAUUCCACAGGCAGGGCAGGGCUCCUUCCUCAAGGCAGAUCAGUUACCAUGGGGACGGGCUCAGCAACAGCCAGGGACAGGAAGAAGGAUCCCAGCCACUCAGGGUCCGGGUCCUGCUCCACCCCUCCCACUCCGCCAAACAGAUCAGACUCAGGAAACAAGGCCAGCCAGUUCUCUGGGCAGUUCCUGCUGGUCACUGCUUUAAUCAGUUGAUGUGGUAAGGAAAGGAGUGGUGCUGGUGCCACCAUGUGGCUGGACACUCAGGGCCUCAGCCACACUCCACCUCGGGGUCUUCCACAUCGGUUUCCGCGGCACAGAGGUCAUCCAGGGCUGCCUCUGAGACAAAAAGGAGAGGUUCCUGGUGAGGGCCCAAAGGUGCCAGGGCCUAGGGCAGGUCCCACCUCUCCUCCCCCAACGUCCGCAGGAACUAACCAGUCCCUUCCACACCCAGGCCCUGCUCCCUCAGCUACUGCAAACAAAGUGAUACAAAGGCAAUUCAGACACGGCUAUUUCUGGAAAAACCGUGGCUCUGCCAGGCACACUCAACAGAUAGAUGCAAAAGGCAUCCCAAUAUGCUUGGAGAAGAACUGAGGCAGGAAGAUAAAAGAAAAUGGCCCCAGUGCUGGAACAGGCUGCAGUGGGCGGGGGCCUGCUGAGGGGACACCCAGGAAUCUGACUUGUUGGGGAACCUCUGGAAGAAGCCAUGGGGGCUGGGCAGGAUGGCCUCUGGCAGGCUUACCUUCACAGUCCGUCACAUCAGGAAGCCCUCGGAUGAGCAUGCUGACCCCCGGCAUCACCUGGUCAAACUGAUGCAGGACCUCCACGCAGUGCAUCAUGAAGAGCUUGUCCUUCUGCGAUAGGCCGUGCAGCAGCAGCACCGUGUCCCGCAGACAGCGCACUGUCCGCCUCUGCUGGUCGGUCCUUGGGGGUCCCCCUGCCCUCCGCACUGUCAGCCACUGUCUGUGCAACAUCACCGUGAGCGCUCUGACCACCUGAGAGAGGGGGGGUGCAGACUGAGGCCUGGUGCCACCAUGGCCUGCACCCUAACAAUCCGCUCAGCCUAGCCACCUCACGUGAGGGGGUUUGCAGUGGGGCCUACAGUCCUUGCACGGGGCCCCCUUACCACCAGAGCUGCCAGCUGUUGGCCCCUACCCACUCACCUCCACAUUACACUGGCAGUUGGAGCCAGUGACUGGGGGCAAGGGGCUCUGCACACCAAGCUUAGCCAGGAGCCACACCACCUAGAACAAGAACAGAUUGGUUCCAUCCUGGGCAGAAGGAGACCAGUCCCUGCGAGGGUUUUCUUAAGCUUCUAUAAGAGUUCACUUGCUUCAGCAACUGUUUGUCUGCACAAAUGGGGUCCAAGAAGUGGUGUGGGACCUUCCCAGGGAAGACCCAGGACAAGCACUCAUGUGUCACCAGCAACCCACCUGCCUCCAGCCCCCUAUUCUGCCCCCACGUCCCAAAGCCAAGACAGGAUCAGUCAUCAGGCAACUCUGCCAAGUCCUGUCUGCAUUGCAUCUGUGUGGUGCACAGCCCCCAAACUGAGUUUACCUCUUUAGUUGCUUUAUCAACUCUUGUUACUAAAAUGAAUUAAAGCUCCGUUUCUCCUCAGCG
rnacentral:lncRNA from 1 species